rnacentral:rRNA from 1 species
GUGUCAGCAGCCGCGGUAAUACGGAGGUGGCAAGCGUUGUUCGGAAUUACUGGGCGUAAAGGGCGCGUAGGCGGGGAGGCAAGUCGGGUGUGAAAGCCCUCGGCUCAACCGAGGAACGGCGCCCGAAACUGCUUCUCUUGAGUCCCGGAGAGGAAGGUGGAAUUCCCGGUGUAGCGGUGAAAUGUGUAGAGAUCGGGAGGAACACCGGUGGCGAAGGCGGCCUUCUGGACGGUGACUGACGCUGAGGCGCGAAAGCGUGGGGAGCAAACGGGAUUAGAAACCCUGGUAGUCC